GACGAACGCUGGCGGCGUGCUUAACACAUGCAAGUGGAGCGACGAGCCAGGGCUUGCCCUGGGGCAGAGCCGCGAACGGGUGAGUAACACGUGGGUUACCUGCCCCGAUGACCGGGACAACCCGAGGAAACUCGGGCUAAUACCGGAUGUGUCCGAAAGGGGAAAGGAAGCUUCGGCCUCCGCAUCGGGAUGGGCCCGCGGCCCAUUAGCUUGUUGGUGAGGUAACGGCUCACCAAGGCUGCGAUGGGUAGCUGGUCUGAGAGGACGAUCAGCCACACUGGGACUGAGACACGGCCCAGACUCCUACGGGAGGCAGCAGUGGGGAAUCUUGCGCAAUGCGCGAAAGCGUGACGCAGCAACGCCGCGUGGGGAAGAAGGC
rnacentral:rRNA from 1 species